CCCUACUGAUGGACCGUUGUUGCAAUAGUAAUUGAACUUAGUACGAGAGGAACCGUUCAUUCAGAUAAUUGGUAUUUGGCCCUGUCUGACCAGGCACCGGGCCGAAGCUACCAUCUGCUGGAUUAUGGCUGAACGCCUCUAAGUCAGAAUCCAUGCUAGACGCGACGACAAUUUUUGGCCUCGCCUGCUGCUAGUUGGAUACGAAUAAGCUACGGCGCGGAACCAUACAAGGUGGUGUUUGCUGGGUCACGGAAAGGUGGCCUGGUGGCCACGAAUUGCAAUGUCACACGGGC
rnacentral:ncRNA from 1 species